GGACGUAUCUUUUAAUUUGGUCCACGCCAAAAUUUUCAAUAUCGAUAUUAUCCUAAUUAUUGUAUUAAUUCUCCCAUCCAAUCGAGGGACGAUCGAUCAGUUGAUCAAGUUUAAAAUUUCGAAAAAUCAAGAGAUUCCCGCCACUGACAGGUAUUCUUCAGUAAUACAAAAGACAAAGUAUUUCAACUAGACAAAAGUAUUGCCGACAAAGUUCAGUUUCUCAUGGCCUAUGAAAGGACAAAUCGCAAGGAGGUAGAUUUCUAUAUACCUGAAGAAGGUCCGAAACGGAUAUUGUCGAAGUGACAGUGACAGAUUUUGCGUGAUUUUCAGCAGAAACUCGAAAAAUGUACAUCUGCGUGAACAUAUUUUCAACAGCGUCCUUGCAUUCUUUGUUAGUCGAAGUUUUCUUUGGAUUUACGUAAACGCCGGAUAA